rnacentral:lncRNA from 1 species
GGCUAUUGGCCUCCCUCCCCUGAACCAUUUGAGACCUUGACUGAGGCUCAGGCCCCGGGUGAAGGUGUCCUUCUGGCCCAGGCUCUGCUCUGCUCCCUGCCCUGAAACGAUUAUCCAGCAGAUUAAACUUAUCUCUGUUGGCUCCUGGCACAGGGGCUCUGAGCCAAGGUGGCUUGCUCCAGCCUCCACACCCAGUGCCAGGCAGCUGCAGGAUUGAGUCUCCAGCUCAGAGCCCCCAAGAACACAUCUCCUCUGCGCCAGGCGUGCAGCUCUGGGUAUGAAUCUCCAGGCUCAGCUCUGACCACCGGUGUGGAUCCAGCCUCCAUGGUGGGAGUAGGGUGGGGGGCGGAAGUGGUGUUAAGAGCAGGAGCUGGGGGUUUCCAGGUGCUUUUCCAUUGACACAACCAGUCCAAGCAGCCUGAGCUUCUUCCUAGCAAACUCAGAAACUGUUUUGUGUUUCUCAUCAACCCACUGGAAUGGAUCCACCGAGGGGAUGGAGUGACCCCACUUCCACACUGGAUACCAGAUGUUGCCACAUAAGGCCUCUGGCCAGCGUGUGCAUGAAGCCAGGUCAGGAAACAGAGGCCCGGAGACAUGAAAUAACUCACUGGGGGUCCCAUGACUAACUGCCUGCUGGCCCCAAGUCAGGUGGUUUCCCACUGCUGGAAAAAUUGAGGUGUAGGAAUUUACAGUGAGAAGAAGGAUCAUCCUGGGAGGGUGGGAGUCAAAAUAAAAAAGGUGUUUCCUAGGGGCGGGGCUGGAGGUGCCAGUGAUGGAAGCUCGGAGCUCCAGGCUGACUCUCCUUGCUGAUACAGGAGCAGAGAGACCCGAGGGUCAGAGGGGUUCCCCAGGGAGUGCUCCAGGACCUCCAUGUAGUCCUCAGUGGCCCCCUGCUGCUCCCCCUGCAGGAGGCAGAGCGUGGCCCACAGGUAGCAGGUGAUGAGGAGGGCAGAUUGGCAAGGAAGAUGUUGCCGGGUGACCUGCUCUUCCUUCAGGCAUCCUCUGGGUACCCGGCCCCUCUGGACCCUGCUGCAGGGCAGGACCAGCCACGAGCGGCCCCCUCUCCUCAGAGCCCAGCUUGUGCCAUCAUCAAGCCAGUGGUUUUUGGGAUCCACCACCCCUCUGCCCUGGGAGUCGGAGAAGUGGAGAGAUGCACACGGCAAAGGCAAGAAUGAGGACUCAUCAGUGGCCAUGCAAAAGCAGCAUCCAUGCGGUUGUGAGAAGAGGGAGAAGGGGCGAAUAAUGCAGGGAAACAGAAGCAGAGGCACAAACCCAGGCUGGGAAUCAUGCUUCCUGGAAUCCCCUUUCCCCCGUGGUCCUAGGGGGCAAGUGUGUCCAUGA